UGCCUCAGUAACGGCGAGUGAAGCGGCAACAGCUCAAAUUUGAAAUCUGGCUCUUUUAGGGUCCGAGUUGUAAUUUGGAGAAGAUGCUUCGGGUGUGGCCCCGGCCUAAGUUCCUUGGAACAGGACGUCACAGAGGGUGAGAAUCCCGUACGUGGCCGGUGGCCUCGCCCAUGUGAAGCUCUUUCGACGAGUCGAGUUGUUUGGGAAUGCAGCUCAAAAUGGGUGGUAUAUUUCAUCUAAAGCUAAAUAUUGGCCAGAGACCGAUAGCGCACAAGUAGAGUGAUCGAAAGAUGAAAAGCACUUUGGAAAGAGAGUUAAACAGUACGUGAAAUUGUUGAAAGGGAAGCGCUUGCAACCAGACUUGCGCGCGGUUGAUCAUCCGGUGUUCGCACCGGUGCACUCGACCGCGCGCAGGCCAGCAUCGGUUUGGGCGGUUGGAUAAAGGCCCCAGGAAUGUGGCUCUCUUCGGGGAGUGUUAUAGCCUGGGGCGCAAUGCAGCCUGCCCGGACCGAGGACCGCGCUUCGGCUAGGAUGCUGGCGUAAUGGUUGUCAGCGA
rnacentral:rRNA from 1 species